UACGCCCACAUCACGAGGAAACUCUGGUUCCCGUACGAUCACCGAAGCUAAGCAUUGUCGAGCCUGGUCAUUACCUAGAUGGGUGACCGCUUGGGAGUACCAGGUGCUGUAAG